UUUAUACUUCAGGGUUGGGUGAAAUUCCCACUCGGCGGUAUACCCCGCGAGCUCUAGUUGAGCAUGAUUAGGUGCAAUUCCUAAGGCGACAGUAAAGGCUGGAUGAAAGAAGUGAACC
rnacentral:ncRNA from 2 species